rnacentral:rRNA from 2 species
AAUGGGUCAGCGACUUAUAUUCUGUAGCAAGGUUAACCGUAUAGGGGAGCCGAAGGGAAACCGAGUCUUAACUGGGCGUUAAGUUGCAGGGUAUAGACCCGAAACCCGGUGAUCUAGCCAUGGGCAGGUUGAAGGUUGGGUAACACUAACUGGAGGACCGAACCGACUAAUGUUGAAAAAUUAGCGGAUGACCUGUGGCUGGGGGUGAAAGGCCAAUCAAACCGGGAGAUAGCUGGUUCUCCCCGAAAGCU